rfam:Triticum aestivum genome assembly, contig: Triticum_aestivum_CS42_TGACv1_scaffold_513362_6BS
CAUCCACUCCGUCCCAAAAUUCUUGUCUUAGAUUUGCGUAGAUACGGAUGUAUCUAAUACUAAAACGUGACUUCAUACAUCCGUAUUUAGACAAAUCUAAGGCAAGAAUUUUGGGACAAAGGGAGUAGCAC